rnacentral:lncRNA from 1 species
AUGGUUGCUUCUAAGGAGUCUUUAAACGCUUCUGUAGAUACGGGGAGAAAAGAAGNCGAAAAAAAAAAAAAAAAAAAAAAAAAAAAAAAAAAAAAGGCAGGGCACGCUCCAACUGCACGGUCACCGGGCCGCUCGGGGUCAAGGCCCUCGGGCUCCAUCCACCUGGACGCGGACGUGGUCAGCACGAGGGCCCAGGUGGCAGCUGAGAGCGCGCGCAGCAGGGACAACGGUCUGAACCGGGGGCUGGGGGCGCGGGUCCCCCAGGGGCCCGUCAAUACACCGCAGCCCCCUGAGCCGGGGCCCAGACACCCCCACCCUGGGGCCGGGAUUCAUUGUUGGCAGGAGGCUCCCAUCGGACGCGGGACCCCCAAGGGGCCGAGCCAGGGCCGAGGGCAAGUCCCUUUUGUAGAACGCCAGGAUCUGCUAUUUCUUCUAAGCUCCCCUCUUGUUGCUGUGAGCAAGUGCCUAGAGACACCUGGCUUAGAGACCUCGGAGAGAGUCCCUCGGAGACUAAUACUGCAACCGAACCAAAGCUGGAGAACCUAAGAGAAAUCGCCUGGGAGAGCUCUCUUGGGAAAACAAAGCAAGCCUGUGUCAGUAUUUACUUCAGUUUUCCCAGAGAUGGAAGUCUGGAGACUUGUUUUUUUGUGUUUUGCUUCUCUGUCUGUUUAUAAAAUUAAAAGAGGGUCAUGGCUGGCCUUGGGAAGUAAGAGCCCCCUUCCCCCAUUAAUGAAUUUAAUUAUAUAAUUAAAAUCUCUCUUCUCAGCUGAACAAGAAGAUAUUUUGGUAUCUACUCUUAUAUGUUUCAACUGUUCUAGCCCUGGCUUAAAACAUCAUGUUACCUUUCUGCACACAACAAUCUUCUGCAGUUUAUCUUUUGCAAAUAGACACCUCUCUAUACAGGGAGAUCUCUGUAUCUCUCUUCCUGACAUUCAAGGCCCCUUAUAAAUCAACUCAGACAUAUGUUUCCAGGCUAAUUCCCCACAGGCCAAACUAUUCCUGCAGCCGCAUAGAUUCGCCAUCCUCUAAAUGCAUCUGGGACCCUCCCACCUCUGCUCUUUUUCCCAAGAGGUUCCCUACCCUUUGAAGAUUCCUUCCGACCAAUAAAGCCAACCUUCAAAUACA